AACUAAAGCUCAGACUAAAAGAAGAAGAGCGAAAAAAGCUAUUUCUUAACUGUAUACUAGAUUUUAAUAAUGGAAAAAGAGGAUAAGGAUAAGGAUAAGGACAAAUACUAAGGAGAAGCCAAUGAAAAGAACAUGUUUUGUAGAAAAGAAAACAACGUAAAGAAAAAGCAGCGCUUCUUUCUGAUUUGCGUAUUCUGAAGAAAAGUUAAUCAAAUUACACUUGCGCACUUUGCAAUCAUGCGUUCCUCGAACUAUGGUUUUUGCUGACUUUAGUUUAAAAAUUUCGCAUAGCGCUUCUGCUUUUUAAAUCAUAAUUAUUUUUUAGUUAAUCGUUAUUUUUUGAAAUUCGUUGAAUUAAUCUCAUUACUCUAACAAGCAUUGCACUUAAAUUGAAAUAAAAAUCUAUACUUUAAAUAUUCGUUUGAGCGUGAAAGUCACAUUCCGUACAUUAAUUCUCAUACACAAUACAUUUUCGCCGCGUUUUGUUGACAUUUUUUUUUUUGAGCUUAGUCAUUUUAGCUAUUAACUCUUCGCAAGGGUUGAAUUCUUCUAACGAAAUUAACUAUUUUUUAAUUAUGAAAUUAAAAUAAAUUAAUUACCAAACGAAAUGAGACUUCGACAAAUAUGCGCGAUUUUUGUAAGCAUACGAAGAUAUUACGAUUUAUUAUUUUUCUUUUUAAAAUGUUUAUAACGAAGUAAUUUAGUAUUUAAAUUAUUAUUAAUGUUAUUUUAUGUAAUACACGCGUAUUACUAAAGAUUUAAAAGUGAAAUAUGUAAAAAAAAACGUAAAUUAAAGAUAAUUAAAGAAUGAAAAUUUAAAUCUAGUGCGUAAAUAAAAUGAUUCGUUUAAAGAAGUGUAGUCGCUGAGACCAAAUGAUAUUGUUGUUUGCUAAAAAGGUCAUUUUGGCAAAUAUUGUUAGCUACUAGCAAACUAUUAUUUUUGCUGCUAUGAAUGUGAAAUAAAUUAUUUUUUUUUAUUACUGACAUCGGUAAUUUGUGACAAAAUGGUUAAGGAUAAUCAGCAAGACAUUAAAAAAUCACGUAAUUAAAAGAGAAACGAAAGAUUUAAGCGUAAAACGGAAUAAGUGUUUACCAUUAAAAUGGAACAAAAAAAUCAUGAAAAAUUCCCGAAAAUGUAAUAAAUAUGAAAAUAUAAAAUCUAUCCCUGAAGACAAAUAUCCAUAUAUUAAUUCUACCAUAUUAAAUAGACAGUUUAUUUGUGUUUUAUGAGCAUAGAAGUUGAACAAAUGCGGUAAAUUGAACUAAAAUUCAACAUAACCAAAAAAAACAAAAAACAUUUAUCCUGGAAUUUUCACCUGCGAAGCGAAUAAAUUUGGCGAAGCGCACGGUUUGCUGAACACAGCUAAAAUUUGCAUAAAGAUCGUUCGCCACGCAAAGCAAUUUGUAAAAUCAAAAAAACUUUGUACAAACUUGUACAAGCGAACACUCUUAAUAUAAAUUUAAGGUGUGUUCGCCAAUCUGUUCUCUCGCAAGUGCCAAUACCAGCUUUAUAUAUUAAAUAACCAAAUUGUUAAAUGUAAUUACAAAGAAAUUUAAAGAGAGAAAUAAAUCAUUUGAAAGUUAAAAUAACUACCAAAUUCAUACAAAUCACAGACGGCUUUUCACAGAACUAAUUACUUAGUUUUGUGGACUAAAACUAAAAUGGCAUCAGCAAAACACUGCGCUUUAGUACUAAGGGCCAGUUUUUCAGUGGCAGUUUAAACUUAGAUCACUGAAAAACUGGCCCUACGAAACAACUUUUCAGCGAAAAAGUUUUCCCAUUAUAAAGACAAUUUAUAAUACUUUAACACAAUGUUAUUGCAGCAAUUUUAAUAACUAAGCAUUAUAAUUUACAAAAGCAAUUAUUGGUUUUAUAACCCUCUUUUAAAGAGAUUACUAAGCUUUUGCAAUAUUAAAAUGUAUACCAGUUACAGCUAUUUUACAACUACUUUAAAUGAUAUAGUCUUCUUCGUAAAACCUUUUGUGGCAUUUUGUUCGACUUUUUUUGCUCAAUUCAGACGCAAUUUUUCAAUAUGCAAAUAACCCAACAUACUUACCUAGUGUGUAAGCCUCAAAAUUAAUAUAUGUAUAUA